CCGCUCGGGUCGGGUCGCGCAGCCGAGAAGAAAACUCACCGAGCUGUCGGCCGUGCGGGCUGAAGUCCACCGAGUAUCGGGGAUUAAACUCAGGACCCUGCGCUUGCCAGGAGACAGUGUGUAACAAGAGUUGGAUUUUUAUCCCUGAAGAGAAGACGAACACCACUGUGGUAUCCUAGCCUCCCCAGCCCAAGGAAUUCAGAGUCCAACAAAGAGAGGGGCCACAGGAAAGAACAGAAGAAGCCGUUUGAUGAUUGAGUUGGUGACCGGAGCCAUUUGUCGGUCAGCAAAAGCCCAAGGUGCACAGGGCCUGUCUCCCAUCCCUCACAUCCCGCUGAGAUUUCUCCAGGGACCAGGUAGAAGCAGCCUUGUAGGAGGCUUUGAAUGGGCAGAAGAAGAAAAUUAAGUGUUUUAAAAUUGCACCCUGUGACUGCCGCUUUCUCGUUAACUGAAAAUGCUACGUAUAUUUUCAGUUGGUGCCACUGUAAAACCAUCCCGCGUGGGUUUGGUUACGGGUUUGGGCCCAGCUGGAUCAAGGCCAGGUGGGUUCUCCAGCGGUCUUCUCAGCUCUGCCCUCCCCCCUCCUCCUUUCUUCCUCAGACCCAC